rnacentral:lncRNA from 1 species
AUCUUCUUGUGUCCUGAGGAAUGUACCUAGAAGAGCUGCACCUUCAUUAGUCAUUCCACCUUGGAAAAGGAUUUGGAGCAUCAAAGGAAACGUUUUUGACUAAGAAACAAGGGAUUAUGACUGGAACUAUUCUGCAGCAGUAAGUAACACCAAAUCAGUACUCUGAUCAUAAACUAAGCCCAUCACUAUUGUUCAAUUCUGCCACAGCCAUUUAU